CAGUUUCAAAAUAACUCAAACCACCACACUUCCGCUGCGCACUCUGAUUUAAUCCAUUAAAUACUCUAAAGCCUCUAAAUGAUUUAUGACUGAUAUAUCGCUUUGCACUAGGAGUAAGAAAAUCCAAAUUUCAAAACUUUAAUUGAGCAGAACCUCCAGAUCUCUCUGUCCUCAAUUUAUGUAAACUAACCAUAACUAGCACUCAAGCCAUUAAUCAUGUUUAAGGUCACUACAUGAUCUUCACAACCAUUUUAAAAUCCAAAAUAUCUAGGUUUAAUUUAAAAUAAAUAAACCAUGAAUUUCCUCCGCAAUUCGAUUAGACAAUCUACGUUGAUCUUCUUUCCAAAAAGAUUUACUUCAAAUUCAAUGGGUUAAAAGCCAU
rnacentral:lncRNA from 1 species